CGGGAAACUCAUUAUCUUGGCUGAUCUCCUGUGCGCCUCCGCUCCAAUCUAGACCCCCGCUCUUCUCGAAAGCAUAUAGGGAUGCCACGUAUUUCCAAAGAGACAGAGUCUCAAGCUAAUUCUUAUGGACUCUCACACUCGACCAGAACCUGACAAUCAGUUCGGUCCCGACUCCAGUCCUGUCGGGAGCCGCAUGGGGCCAAGACACAGAAAGUUAGUAGCUGACUUUGGAUGGGGCCUGGGUCUUCUGACCUCCAUUUCAGUCCUCUACUUGUACCAAGCUAAUUUAAAUAUGGUGUCCUAAUCUUUAAAAUGAGAAGGCAUAAAGCUUAUUAAAUACACAUAAUAAACAUUAAAGUAUAAUUUCGA